GAUGAACGCUGGCGGCGUGCCUAAUACAUGCAAGUCGAGCGAACGGACGAGAAGCUUGCUUCUCUGAUGUUAGCGGCGGACGGGUGAGUAACACGUGGAUAACCUACCUAUAAGACUGGGAUAACUUCGGGAAACCGGAGCUAAUACCGGAUAAUAUUUUGAACCGCAUGGUUCAAUAGUGAAAGACGGUUUUGCUGUCACUUAUAGAUGGAUCCGCGCUGCAUUAGCUAGUUGGUAAGGUAACGGCUUACCAAGGCAACGAUGCAUAGCCGACCUGAGAGGGUGAUCGGCCACACUGGAACUGAGACACGGUCCAGACUCCUACGGGAGGCAGCAGUAGGGAAUCUUCCGCAAUGGGUGAAAGCCUGACGGAGCAACGCCGCGUGAGUGAUGAAGGUCUUCGGAUCGUAAAACUCUGUUAUUAGGGAAGAACAUAUGUGUAAGUAACUGUGCACAUCUUGACGGUACCUAAUCAGAAAGCCACGGCUAACUACGUG
rnacentral:rRNA from 1 species